rnacentral:rRNA from 1 species
GACGAACGCUGGCGGCGUGCCUAAUACAUGCAAGUAGAACGCACAGUUUAUACCGUAGCUUGCUACACCAUAGACUGUGAGUUGCGAACGGGUGAGUAACGCGUAGGUAACCUGCCUGGUAGCGGGGGAUAACUAUUGGAAACGAUAGCUAAUACCGCAUAAUAUUAAUUAUUGCAUGAUAAUUAAUUGAAAGGUGCAAUUGCACCACUACCAGAUGGACCUGCGUUGUAUUAGCUAGUAGGUGAGGUAACGGCUCACCUAGGCGACGAUACAUAGCCGACCUGAGAGGGUGAUCGGCCACACUGGGACUGAGACACGGCCCAGACUCCUACGGGAGGAAGCAGUAGGGAAUCUUCGGCAAGGGACGAAAGUCUGACCGAGCAACGCCGCGUGAGUGAAGAAGGGUUUCGGAUCGUAAAGCUCUGUUGUAAGAGAAGAACGGGUGUGAGAGUGGAAAGUUCACACUGUGACGGUAUCUUACCAGAAAGGGACGGCUAACUACGUG